CGCCNUGUAGACUGGGAUAACAUCNAGAAAAUCGGGUGGCUAAUACCGGAAUAAUCGAAGAACCCGCAUGGUUUCUUUGUAAAGAUGGCUCCCGGCUAUCACUACGGAUGGGCCCGCGGCGCAUANGCUAGUUGGUGGGGUAGAGGCUCAACCAAGGCAACGAUGCGUAGCCGACCUGAGAGGGUGAUCGGCCACACUUGGGAUUAAGACACGGCCCAGACUCCUACGGGAGGCAGCAGUAGGGAAUCUUCCGCAAUGGACGAAAGUCUGACGGAGCAACGCCGCGUGAGUGAUGAAGGUUUUCGGAUCGUAAAGCUCUGUUGUUAGGGAAGAACAAGUGCCAUUCAAAUAGGGUGGCACCUUGACGGUACCUAACCAGAAAGCCACGGCUAACUACGUGCCAGCAGCCGCGGUAAUACGUAGGUGGCAAGCGUUGUCCGGAAUUAUUGGGCGUAAAGCGCGCGCAGGCGGUCUUUUAAGUCUGAUGUGAAAGAUCGGGGCUCAACCCCGAGAGGUCAUU
rnacentral:rRNA from 1 species